UUUCCGUAGGUGAACCUGCGGAAGGAUCAUUGUCGAAACCUGCCCAGCAGAACGACCCGCGAACUUGUAUAAACAACCGGGGGCGGGGGGCGUUCUCGCCCCGUGCCCCCGAACGGCGGGGAGACACUCGUGCCUUCUUGCCGAACAACGAACCCCGGCGCAGUCUGCGCCAAGGAACUUCAACUAAAGAGUGCCUCCGGUCGCCUCGGAAACGGCGUGCGUGCCGGGGGCGAAUCUUGUGCAAAACCAUAACGACUCUCGGCAACGGAUAUCUCGGCUCUC
rnacentral:misc_RNA from 1 species